UGGGGAAUAUUGCACAAUGGGCGCAAGCCUGAUGCAGCCAUGCCGCGUGUGUGAAGAAGGCCUUAGGGUUGUAAAGCACUUUCAGCGAGGAGGAAGGCAUCACACUUAAUACGUGUGGUGAUUGACGUUACUCGCAGAAGAAGCACCGGCUAACUCCGUGCCAGCAGCCGCGGUAAUACGGAGGGUGCAAGCGUUAAUCGGAAUUACUGGGCGUAAAGCGCACGCAGGCGGUUUGUUAAGUCAGAUGUGAAAUCCCCGCGCUUAACGUGGGAACUGCAUUUGAAACUGGCAAGCUAGAGUCUUGUAGAGGGGGGUAGAAUUCCAGGUGUAGCGGUGAAAUGCGUAGAGAUCUGGAGGAAUACCGGUGGCGAAGGCGGCCCCCUGGACAAAGACUGACGCUCAGGUGCGAAAGCGUGGGGAGCAAAACAGGAUUAGAGUACCCUGGUAGUCCACGCUGUAAACGAUGUCGACUUGGAGGUUGUGCCCUUGAGGCGUGGCUUCCGGAGCUAACGCGUUAAGUCGACCGCCUGGGGAGUACGG
rnacentral:rRNA from 1 species